GCAUUGUCUCCACUGUCAUAUCGUCGAGCAAAGACUGGUCCAGGAGCGCAGAAACAUGCUUCAAGAAAAAGCUUAUGUCCAUAAUUCUUCAAGUCUGCAUAUGACUGCAUCAUUCUUCAGCCUUCUAGACUCCUUCCACUUCUGCCCCCUCGGAUACAAGGACUUCCCAGACUUAGGUAACACAACCUCUUCUCUUCUUUCAACAUGUUGUCAUGUUGUGCUUGAGUUAUGGUACAACUGGAGUUGGGUGAAAGCGACAUGGAGCCUUGAAGUGGUAGGUACCAGCUUUCACAUGUCCUCCGGGUCUGAAGUUUCUUGUGUUUGUC